CUAUUCAGACCGAUUAGCUGGAGGCGAGCGAUUGCUUUCUUCCUUGGGGGGGGGGAGAGAUUAGAAGCCUCUUUUCUGUCCUUGCCUUUAAGGGUUGCUAUCCUGCAUGGCCCUUGUAGAACUCUGGACACGUUGCUGUAUUUUUAUUUUUUUUUAGCACUACAGCUCCCCUCACCCCCCUCACCCCGGUGGCUAGGGGAUGAUGGGUACUGCAGUCCAAGAAUAACAUUUUCCGACCCCCCCCCCCCACUUGCACGGAUUGUGUUGGUUUCAAACAAUCUUCAGCCCAAACCGGACACCAGCCAGCAAUAGGGUUGCUAUCCUGCAUGGCCCUUGUAGAACUCUGGACACGUUGCUGUAUUUUUAUUUUUAUUUUUGGCACUACGGCUCCCAUCACCCCCCUCACCCCAGUGGCUAGGGGAUGAUGGGCACUGCAGUCCAAGAAUAACAUUUUCCGACCCACCCCACUUGCACGGAUUGUGCUGGUUUCAAACAAUCCUCAGCCCAAACCGGACACCAGCCAGCAAUAUGUGUGUUGAACAACAUUUCAAACGUUUUUAUUAUUUUUUUCCCCCGCUUCUCCAAACAGAGUCUGUUCCGGAGGGUAACCCUCGAGCAGAAAAAGGGGCACUCUGCAUGUUCUCAGAGGCGGUCUGUUGACCGAGUACGUCGUAGGGCCAAACCUGCGUUGAAAAGCCUCCGUCGGUUGCUACCUCCUGGCCCCUGGCGGUCAUUUUCUCCUAGAUAUUUUUUCCAGACUUUUAGAGACGUAUCCGGGCUCCGUUCUCAUCAUCACCGCUAUCAUCCACAGCCACCUUACAAGCCUGUACAUUUCCUCUUGAUCUACGUUAUCGGCCACACUCACACAAAGAGACACAUGCAAACGGUUUCAUCUCCAGAUGCUAUUCCAGAGCAAAAGAGAAGGGGUCUUGGCCACCACAACAAAAUCCUUCCUAAAGGGGACAGGAUUAUACUCCGGUUACCCCAAGAAAACUAUAAAUAAAGAGUGUGAGGAUUGUCCAGAGACUGAAGGAUAUUGCCAGGUAUGUGCGUGUCCCAGGAGAAGAUCGUGACAUCCAGUUUUAUGAACCUCAGACUGUUUCUCGCUCAAAACAAAGCCAAAAAAAAAAAAGCAGAAUGAUUCUAUCAAUCCUAUUCUUGUCCGCGGAUGUGUGUGAAUUAUUAGUCCAGGCCAGGGAAGAUGUGUUUGUCUCUCUGUGUGUGUGUAGUUAUUUGACAGAAAAACAUCCUUCCGCACAGCAUCGCUUCACCCGGAGGUAGACAACACAAGGAAAUAUUUGUUUUUAGAAUGGGAAAAAGCAAAACUUUGCCGAAGUUAUUUUGGGGGUUUGAAAAGGGCCCCGAACCCAGAAAGACAUGCUACUCUGGAGGGGCAUCAAGGAAUGGUUAGUUACUAAAAAAAAGUCACUUGUUCAACCUGUAACUAAAAUUCAUCUCCCUCGCUUUCUCUUUACAGAAGAGAAAGGCAGAAAGAGGUCGCCUGGUACUUGGCCAAGCCUAAAAUUAAAUAAAAUAGAAUUUAAAAAAAAGAAAGAAAACGUG
rnacentral:lncRNA from 1 species